GUGCUUGUUUUGGCAGCAUAUAUACUUAAAAUUAGAAUGCUAUGGAGAGGAUUAGCAUGGUCCAUGCACAGGAUGACAUGCAAAUUUGUGAAACUCUAUAAUGUUCU